rnacentral:lncRNA from 1 species
UUCCAUCCUUUUUUUGACCUUCCUGUUAUGCGCAUUUUCUUUCUUCCUUUUGAUUUUCUGGUUAGGAUUGCUUUCAUAAGUGUACUUUGAUGGAUUUUGAUCUGAAAUUUCCAAUUCUCUGCUGACAUUGGGUUUAAGGCCGUUCUCUUGCAGAAAUUUAAACUUCUGCUGGUGGGGUAUGUUCUUUCUUUUUCUUCAGUUUUUUGGUUUUGGUAUAUUUUACUUUGAUUUUCUUGGUAAACGAGAGAAUUUUAUGAAUUAGAAUAUUAAGUUUUUAGUCUACAGCUAGGAUUUGUAUUUUGUAAUGUACAGGAAGGGACUAUUAAGUAUUAUUUUGUUAUUUUCUUAUGGUAAAGCUUCGUAUUUGUUUUUUUUUAUCCCCUUGUUGAUAUUCAUAACUAAUUCUUUGCUUAUGCUGAAGGAGAGUGAAUGAUUGUAAUAUUAGCUCGCUAACUGGUUUCCUCUACAUAUAAAAUGGAGAAGCUCAAAGAUGAUUGAGAUUUGUUUUCACAAAAACAUAAAUUAUAGAUGUCUUUUAUUUCCACACUGCAUUCUGUUGUAGACUUGUUUAGUUAUUAUACUGUUUGCAAUGAGAUUGGAGUAAAGUGCUUGCAGAGAGUGGAGGCUGGUAUUGGAGGAGUUUUUUCACUUGUGGUUAAUGGAGCCCUUGUCUUGUAAUGCAUCAGUAGAGUUGAUGACCCAGUAAACUAAAUAUAGUUCUUUUAGUUUCUUUUCUAGAAGAGGCUCAAUGUGCUCAUCUUGCUUUUUCUUCUGGAAAAGGUAGGCGGUAAUUCUAGGACUCCGCCGAUUACUAUAAUUCAUAUAGGUAGAAAUAUUUAAAAGUAGAAAAAUCCAACAUUAGGAAUUGCAUAGGAAGCCUCCCUAAAAGCAGACAAUUAUAGAGUGAGCACUGAGAGUUUUGAGAAGGGGAACUGAAACUUCUAGGCAGGAAGCUGUGUUGUAAUAUAUCUUUUGCCGGAAUUUCUCAAGCUAUUCCAAUAAAUAAGUAAAGAAAUUUCUUUGCUUUUUCUUUGGGUCACCCUGUUUUAGACUAAAGAAUUUUUUUUCUUUUUCCUUUGUUCCAUUAGUUCCAACCAAAUGCAAAAGCUUUGGUACCAGCAUUUACCUUUACUUGCUCGUUCAUAGUUACAAUCUAGAGUUAUAUUCAUAAAUGUGUACUCUCAGAACAAUUAUUGGCAUAUACUUUGCUGUUAUAUAUCCUAUGUACUGUAUUGUGUAUGCUGAUGGAUCGAACAAAUAGACAACAUUAUGUUUUUCAUAUGUGGAUGUGAUAUAUUGCUUUUCCUGGAAGAUAAAUUUUGAGUCAAUGGAGGCUGUGGAAUUUUCAUUGCCCUUCCAGUAAAUAGAUGUCAUCUUAAUGAGUUUUUAUUUUAACAUGGGUGGAAGUGGUUGUGAAUCUACUUCCAAUAUGUUGCACUAUUCAUGAUGGUAUGGUAUCUCUCUCUCUCUCUCUGCCCCCCCCUCUGUGUGUGUGUGUGUAUCCGUGCAUGCAUAUUAUUGGGUUCAAGUUGCUGAGUGAUUUCUGUUGAUGGAGUGUGAUUUUUAUUUUAUAGUAAUCAGAAAUUAUGCCAUGCAUCUUGGACUGGAAGAAGAACGCAAGAAAUAUUCCAUCGAAAAGCCAAGAAAAUAAAUGUUAGCUAGGAGGUCAAAUUGCAUAAGUCAUAAUUUUAUAUAAAUGCACGCACAUGGGCAGACAUAGGGGUAUACAAGCAGGGGCCACAUCUCCUUCAAGGUUUCGGAAUUUUUCUAUUAGAGAUUGUGUAGUCAUGCUUGACAAUAUCAGUGUCUGCAAUUCAAACUGCUCCUACCCCUUUGGCAACCCAAAACUAUAUUCAUCAUCCAUGACCCUCCUUGGAUUCUUGUAAUCUCUCUACAGA